CUCUCAGCUUGACUCCUAUAUUCAUGCAUUGUCAACAGAUUGCUCUCCUCUUAAAACUAACUUUAGCAUCGGAGGGUCUUCGGCCGAUACCACACCGGUGCCACGCCACCUUUAAGUUGCUCUUAUCUCUAUCUGUUUAGUUUUAGUUUAGUUUUAGCGCCAACAAUUUCCAAUAUUAAAGGUUGAGAGGUACAAAAACAAAGAAAUCUCUGGAGUUGAAGCUGAAAGGAGAGAUUCUAGUGAAUCCAAAGAUCUCGGCCAUGGGGAUAUUAUUUUGUGUUUGUGGUGGAGAUAUUAUUGGGUUAACUACGUUCCUUUUUAUUCGGAUUUUGAAUUUUUUUUUGCUAUGUCUGCGAAUUUGGAAAUUAGGGAUUUGUGUGUGUGAAUUUGUGGAAAUUUUCCCUGUAAUGACGUGUUAUCGAUCUUUGAGUUUUAGGGUAUGUGCUGCUUAUAUAUCCAACUAGUUAUCCUGUACAUUGGUUCGGAUUAAUAUGCAUCUGGGUUUGUGAGAUUUAA